AGUGAACGCUGGCGGUAGGCCUAACACAUGCAAGUCGAACGGCAGCACAGGAGAGCUUGCUCUCUGGGUGGCGAGUGGCGGACGGGGGAGGAAUACAUCGGAAUCUACUUUUUCGUGGGGGAUAACGUAGGGAAACGUACGCUAAUACCGCAUACGACCUACGGGUGAAAGCAGGGGAUCUUCGGACCUUGCGCGAUUGCAGGCGCCGAUGUCGGAUUAGCUAGUUGGCGGGGUAAAGGCCCACCAAGGCGACGAUCCGUAGCCGGUCUGAGAGGAUGAUCAGCCACACUGGAACUGAGACACGGUCCAGACUCCUACGGGAGGCAGCAGUGGGGAAUAUUGGACAAUGGGCGCAAGCCUGAUCCAGCCAUACCGCGUGGGUGAAGAAGGCCUUCGGGUUGUAAAGCCCUUUUGUUGGGAAAGAAAUCCAGCUGGCUAAUACCCGGUUGGGAUGACGGUACCCAAAGAAUAAGCACCGGCUAACUUCGUGCCAGCAGCCGCCGUAAAAC
rnacentral:rRNA from 1 species